UUAAAAUCUAUAUCAGGGGUCUUCAAAGUUGGCACGCUGGCUGGGGAACUCUGGGAGUUGAAGUCCACAAGUCUUAAAGUGACCAAGUUUGAAGACACCCCCCUGGCUUAUAUGGAGCACCCAGGGACCAGUUAAGAGACGCUGGACUACAACUCCCAGACUCUCCAGACAGCGCAGGCGGUUAGACGCUGGCCAGAGGGAUUGUGGGAGUUGUGGUCCCAGGAGCAUAGAGGCCUCCGGCUAGAGGAGGCCCUCGCCCGGAAGUCCUCUCCCCCCGCCGCAGACCGUCCUCUCCGCCGACCCCGCUAGGCGGAGGCUCCUACCUGCGCGCGCCUGUCCCCGGACGCGGCUGACGAAGAUGAGGAGCGCCGCCAACAGCACCGCCGCCACCACAGAGAUCCAACCUGGAAUUAAGGAGAAACUUCCUAACAGUGAGGACAAUUAACCAUUGGAACUGCUUGCCACCAGACGUUGUAGCAACAUGCUAGAAGCUUUAAGAUCUCCUCUGCUCUCUGAAAAGGCACCGUCUAACUUUGGGUUACAACUUACGGCCACAAUGGAGAUACAGGAGAUGAACACAAAACACGGGAUGUGAUUUGAUUCACGCCUACAAAAGAAACCUCAAAGAGUGAUUAAUUUUUGAGAGGGAGAGGGGGGGGGGUCAGUAUCCAGAAUUUUCUGUUAGGAAUUAAAGCAAUUAAAGAAUGAAAGCCAGGUCUGUUAUUCCAACCCCAUUAUUCUGUUAUUUUUUUUUUCAGCCGAAGCAAAAACACCCUUCAACCGAGUCAAAUUUGCAUGGCUGGUAAUUGCGCACAGGCGUCUACAUAUUGUCAACCACAAUAUUUAUUUAUUUUCCUGUUGAUUGAUUCAGUCUCAUGAAAUAUUGUAUUUACUUACUUAUCAUUCUGUCGAUGAAACCUUUCUUUUUAAAGCACCUGACAGAUAGCCAGACUCGCUGGCUGAUUUAUUAUAAAUCACCUAAUUAUAAAUACUGCUCCUGUUUGUUGUUCCCGUUCGUUGUGUCCAUCGCCCACUAACAUUAUGUGAGACAUAAUAUGAUGUCCUUUCAUAUGAUAUGGUCCUUCUGUGUAUUACAUGCAUGCUAAAUUGUAUGACGGAAGACUAAAACAUACGAAUGCUGGCAGGAACUGUGUGUGUGUGUGUCUAGUUUAAUGAAGAGAAGGACGAGGGGAGACAGGAUAGCAGUCUUCCAGUAUC